rnacentral:rRNA from 1 species
UACGUAGGGGCAAGCGUUGUCCGGAAUUAUUGGGCGUAAAGAGCGCGUAGGCGGUCCGAUAAGUCGGCUGUGAAAGUCUAGGGCUCGAACCCUGGAAAGCCGGCCGAUACUGUCGGACUAGAGUCCGGAAGAGGCGAGUGGAAUUCCCGGUGUAGCGGUGAAAUGCGCAGAUAUCGGGAGGAACACCAAUGGCGAAGGCAGCUCGCUGGGACGGUACUGACGCUGACGGAGCGAAAGCAUGGGUAGCGAACAGG